AACGAACGCUGGCGGCAGGCUUAACACAUGCAAGUCGAACGCCCCGCAAGGGGAGUGGCAGACGGGUGAGUAACGCGUGGGAAUCUACCCAGAUCUUCGGAACAACUGAGGGAAACUUCAGCUAAUACCGGAUACGCCCUACGGGGGAAAGAUUUAUCGGUUCUGGAUGAGCCCGCGUUGGAUUAGCUAGUUGGUGGGGUAAUGGCCUACCAAGGCGACGAUCCAUAGCUGGUCUGAGAGGAUGAUCAGCCACACUGGGACUGAGACACGGCCCAGACUCCUACGGGAGGCAGCAGUGGGGAAUAUUGGACAAUGGGCGAAAGCCUGAUCCAGCCAUGCCGCGUGAGUGAUGAAGGCCUUAGGGUUGUAAAGCUCUUUCAGUAGGGAAGAUAAUGACGGUACCUACGGAAGAAGCCCCGGCUAACUUCGUGCCAGCCGCCGCGGUAACAC
rnacentral:rRNA from 1 species